CUAACCAGGAUUCCCCUAGUAACGGCGAGUGAAGCGGGAAGAGCUCAAAUUUGUAAUCUGGCGGCUUACGGUCGUCCGAGUUGUAGUCUGGAGAAGCGUUUUCCGUGUCGGACCGUGUACAAGUCCUUUGGAACAGGGCGUCGUAGAGGGUGAGAAUCCCGUCUUUGACACGGACUGCCGAUGCUUUGUGAUGCGCUCUCGAAGAGUCGAGUUGUUUGGGAAUGCAGCUCAAAACGGGUGGUAAAUUCCAUCUAAAGCUAAAUAUUGGCGAAAGACCGAUAGCGAACAAGUACCGUGAGGGAAAGAUGAAAAGCACUUUGGAAAGAGAGUUAAACAGUACGUGAAAUUGUUGAAAGGGAAACGUUUGAAGUCAGUCGCGUCUCCUGGGACUCAGCCUCGCCUUGUCGCUUGGUGUAUUUCCUGGGGCGACGGGCCAGCAUCGAUUUUGACCGUCGGAAAAAGGCUUUGGGAAUGUGGCACCUUCGGGUGUGUUAUAGCCCUGGGUCGCAUGCGACGGUUGGGAUCGAGGACCGCAGCACGCCUUUUUGGCCGGGGUUCGCCCACGUAACGUGCUUAGGAUGCUGGCGUAAUGGCUUU
rnacentral:rRNA from 1 species